GGAGGGUUGUUGUUGGGAAUCAACACUAGAAAAUGGACAGGCAUCUGAAAUCAGAAGCUGUAAGUGAAAAUGUUCCCCCCAGAGAAUAAGAUUCUGGAAUCAAGCCGUGAUGUAGACAGCAUUUUCAGCAACAAGUUCAAGGAUGCAGAAGAGGAAUAAUCACAACCUAUUGUGGAUACAUAAACUGAGGUGAAAUACAGCUUGCCAAAUAGCUACUAUGCCUAUGAGCCUUAAGUAGGAGGAUACAAAAAAAUCUGGUUACCUUUCAGAAAGAAAAAUACAAGCAAAAAUGUCAGGUAGUUCAGUAUUAGUUUAUUAAAUCAGCAUUCUUUAUCCUCACUUCCUAAAAAUGAUUACAAAGCAUAUUAAAAUAUAUUACAAUAUCUGCAAGGAAUUUAUUGUAUAAUAAAAGUGCAAUAACAAUGAACUUUGUUUGCCUAGCUGGACAAAGUGAAACACUCUGCACAGAUCAAACUCCCUCAAAAAUAAAUGAGUGCCUUUGAAGGGAAAACACAGUAUCUAACAAAUAUAUUAGAAAAGGUACGCACGUGAAGUAGAAAAAGUUCAUGUUCAUUUUCUCCAUGUCAAGCUAUACAUACCUAACAUACUUCAAAUUCUUUGCUUGAAGUCCAA